CCUACGGGCGUCAGCAGUGAGGAAUAUUGGUCAAUGGGCGAGAGUCUGAACCAGCCAAGUAGCGUGAAGGAUGACUGCCCUAUGGGUUGUAAACUUCUUUUAUAUGGGAAUAAAGUGUUCCACGUGUGGGUUUUUGUAUGUACCAUAUGAAUAAGGAUCGGCUAACUCCGUGCCAGCAGCCGCGGUAAUACGGAGGAUCCGAGCGUUAUCCGGAUUUAUUGGGUUUAAAGGGAGCGUAGGUGGAUUGUUAAGUCAGUUGUGAAAGUUUGCGGCUCAACCGUAAAAUUGCAGUUGAAACUGGCAGUCUUGAGUACAGUAGAGGUGGGCGGAAUUCGUGGUGUAGCGGUGAAAUGCUUAGAUAUCACGAAGAACUCCGAUUGCGAAGGCAGCUCACUGGACUGCAACUGACACUGAGGCUCGAAAGUGUGGGUAUCAAACAGGAUUAGAUACCCGAGUAGUC
rnacentral:rRNA from 1 species